UUUAACAGUAGUUUUCACGUGCAUUCCGCUUCUCCAAAAUUUUUUGACAGAUUGCGCGUGAUUUACGCAACGCAGAUGUGCAAAUUGACAGAUGCUGACACGUCUCGAUAAAGCAGAGGCCUCUUUAAUAUCCGGAAUUUACGCUUCGAGUUCUGAGCUUCGUUGAGGGCAGAGAUUGCAUGUGACAAGUGCUGACGAGGCUGAGAGAGACAGAUGGUUGGAAUCGGUGCUUCGACAGACUGCCCGUAAUUUUCGCAAAGCUGAGUUGCGUGUGAUGGGUGCUGACGAGGCUGAGACAGUUGACACUCUUCGGUAUCUG
rnacentral:lncRNA from 1 species